rnacentral:rRNA from 1 species
UACGUAGGGUGCAAGCGUUUAAUCGGAAUUACUGGGCGUAAAGCGUGCGCAGGCGGUUGUGCAAGACAGAUGUGAAAUCCCCCGGGCUCAACCUGGGAACUGCAUUUGUGACUGCACGGCUGGAGUGCGGCAGAGGGGGGAUGGAAUUCCGCGUGUAGCAGUGAAAUGCGUAGAUAUGCGGAGGAACACCGAUGGCGAAGGCAAUCCCCCUGGGCCUGCACUGACGUCAUGCACGAAAGCGUGGGGAGCAAACAGG